ensembl:lncRNA
CAUGGUUUCCCCCCCCCCCAGAAUCACAAUAACAUGUCAUCUGUUUUAUCUUCUUUUUUAAAUGUAUUAUUAUAUCUCAAAAUAUCGCCCAUUGUAAUGUUAUGGAAUGAAAUGUCCUUGUUUCAGACCAACAGCUUACAGAGAAGGCAUAUAGCUUUUUCGAUGUGAAAAGCUAGAAACGACCACUAGAGGAAAUCCUGGUAAAUAAAUAUAAAAUGUAUCAGAAUCAAAGGUUCUAUCCUAAUCUAAUGUGGGGUGGCAGGUAGCCUAGUGGUUUGAGCGUUGGGCAGGUAGCCUCGUGGUUUGAGCGUUGGGCAGGUAGCCUAGUGGUUAGAGCGUUGGGCAUGUAGCCUAGUGGUUAGAGCGUUGGGCCAGUAACCAAAAGCUGACAAGGUCAAAAAUCUGUCUUUCUGCUCCUGAACAAGGCAGUUAACCCACUGUUCCACGGUAGGCUGUUAUUGUAAAUAAGAAUUUGUUCUUAACUGACUUGCCUAGUUAAAUAAAAUAAAAGUUAAAUUUAAAGACUGCCAAGCCAUUUAACAUGACCAAGAAAACCACUAAGCUAUGUGUAUUUUGUACAAUGUCUGUUAGUAGUGAAAUGAAAUGUACGUGUGUUUAAAGAGAGUCACCAUUUUUUUGGACUGAUUCGGCCAAACUAGUCUACAUACAUCUACAGGUGUGAUAAUGUUAUAUUUGUCCAUCAACAAGGUUACUGAUCCAAACAGAUGUGCUAGAAGGUAAAGGGGUUCAGUGUAGUAG